CAGCCGCCACGGUAACACGUAGGGUGCGAGCGUUAAUCGGAAUUACUGGGCGUAAAGCGUGCGCAGGCGGUUAUGUAAGACAGUUGUGAAAUCCCCGGGCUCAACCUGGGAACUGCAUCUGUGACUGCAUAGCUAGAGUACGGUAGAGGGGGAUGGAAUUCCGCGUGUAGCAGUGAAAUGCGUAGAUAUGCGGAGGAACACCGAUGGCGAAGGCAAUCCCAUGGACCUGUACUGACGCUCAUGCACGAAAGCGUGGGGAGCAAACAGAAUUAGAUACCCGUGUAGUCCCUGUCUCUUAUAC
rnacentral:rRNA from 1 species